rnacentral:rRNA from 1 species
UUUGGGAAUGCGCCCUCUGAAUAGGCUGUGGCGAGGUACGUCAUCAGCACGAUCAGUAGGUUCGAAGAAGUCCCCACAUUGACUGAGACACGUUCACCCUACGGAGGCAGCAGGAGAUAUGUCAUGGGCGCGAGCUGACAGCAGUAGCGGCAGAGACGCCUAUGAGUGUAAACUGCUUUGUGCGGGAAUAAAGUCAGGGACGUGUCCCUGUUUGCAUGUACCGCAAGAAUAAGGACGGCUAAUUCCGUGCCAGCAGCCGCGGUAAUACGGAAGGUCCGGGCGUUAUCCGGGAUUUAUUGGGUUUAAAGGGAGCGUAGGCCGUCGUUUAAGCGUGUUGUGAAAUGUAGGCGCCCAACGUCUGCACUGCAGCGCGAACUGGAUGACUUGAGUACGCGGGAAGCAGGCGGAAUUCGUCGUGUAGCGGUGAAAUGCUUAGAUAUGACGAAGAACUCCGAUUGCGAAGGCAGCCUGCUGUAGCGCCACUGACGCUGAUGCUCGAAAGCGUGGGUAUCGAACAGGAUUAGAUACCCUGGUAGUCCACGCGGUAAACGAUGGAUGCUCGCUGUGUGCCUAUUAGGUACGUGGCCAAGGGAAACCAUUAAGCAUCCCACCUGGGGAGUACGCCGGCAACGGUGAAACUCAAAGGAAUUGACGGGGGCCCGCACAAGCGGAGGAACAUGUGGUUUAAUUCGAUGAUACGCGAGGAACCUUACCCGGGCUUGAACUGCCAGCGUACGAUUCAGAGAUGAUGAGGCCCUUCGGGGCGCUGGUGGAGGUGCUGCAUGGUUGUCGUCAGCUCGUGCCGUGAGGUGUCGGCUUAAGUGCCAUAACGAGCGCAACCCCUUUCGUCAGUUGCCAUCAGGUAAAGCUGGGCACUCUGGCGACACUGCCACCGUAAGGUGUGAGGAAGGUGGGGAUGACGUCAAAUCAGCACGGCUCUUACGUCCGGGGCUACACACGUGUUACAAUGGCGCAUACAGAGAGUCGGUCCUGCGCAAGCAGGGUCUAAUCAUGAAAGUGCGUCGUAGUUCGGACUGGGGUCUGCAACCCGACCCCACGAAGCUGGAUUCGCUAGUAAUCGCGCAUCAGCCAUGGCGCGGUGAAUACGUUCCCGGGCCUUGUACACACCGCCCGUCAAGCCAUGAAAGCCGGGGGCACCUGAAGUCUGUGACCGCGAGGGGCGGCCUAAGGUGAAACUGGUAAUUGGGGCUAAGUCGUAACAAGGUAAAUCACUGGCCGUCGAAUUCU